rnacentral:rRNA from 1 species
UACGUAGGGGGCAAGCGUUGUCCGGAUUAUUGGGCGUAAAGAGCGUGUAGGCGGCUUGGUAGGUCUCGCGUCAAAACCUGAGGCUCAACCUCAGUUCGCGUGGGAAACCACCUCAGCUAGAGUCCGGAAGAGGAGAAGCGGAAUUCCCAGUGGUAGCGGUGAAAUGCGCAGAUAUUGGGAAGAACACCAGUGGCGAAGGCGGUUCUCUGGGACGGUACUGGACGCUGAGACGCGAAAGCGUGGGGAGCGAACAGGA